rnacentral:snoRNA from 2 species
CCCCUCUAAAGAUGGCACCUGGAGAGUUUCCGGUACUUUACCAGACUCAACUACGGGAGGGAGAGUUACUCUACCAGUCUCAACUACGGGAGGGAGAGUCAAGCAGAGGCAUACCCAUUCCAUUCCUAGCUUGGGCAGUGGCUAGUGAGUGGAAGGCAAUCUGCUACGAGU